rnacentral:rRNA from 1 species
CUGCUGCCUUCCGUAGGAGUUUGGACCGUGUCUCAGUUCCAAUGUGGGGGACCUUCCUCUCAGAGCCCCUAUCCAUCGUCGUCUUGGUGGGCCGUUACCCCGCCAACUAACUAAUGGAACGCAUCCCCAUCGAUAACCGAAAUUCUUUAAUAUCAAGAUCAUGCGAUCUUGAUAUGCUAUCGGAUAUUAAUCUUUCUUUCGAAAGGCUAUCCCCGAGUUAUCGGCAGGUUGGAUACGUGUUACUCACCCGUGCGCCGGUCG